rnacentral:rRNA from 1 species
UGGCGGACGGGUGAGUAAUGUCUGGGAAACUGCCUGAUGGAGGGGGAGUAACUACUGGAAACGGUAGCUAAUACCGCAUAACGUCGCAAGACCAAAGAGGGGGACCUUCGGGCCUCUUGCCAUCAGAUGUGCCCAGAUGGGAUUAGCUAGUAGGUGGGGUAACGGCUCACCUAGGCGACGAUCCCUAGCUGGUCUGAGAGGAUGACCAGCCACACUGGAACUGAGACACGGUCCAGACUCCUACGGGAGGCAGCAUG